GAUGAACGCUGGCGGCGUGCCUAAUACAUGCAAGUCGAGCGAACGGACGAGAAGCUUGCUUUUCUGAUGUUAGCGGCGGACGGGUGAGUAACACGUGGAUAACCUACCUAUAAGACUGGGAUAACUUCGGGAAACCGGAGCUAAUACCGGAUAAUAUUUUGAACCGCAUGGUUCAAAAGUGAUAGACGGUAUUGCUGUCACUUAUAGAUGGAUCCGCGCUGCAUUAGCUAGUUGGUAAGGUAACGGCUUACCAAGGCAACGAUGCAUAGCCGACCUGAGAGGGUGAUCGGCCACACUGGAACUGAGACACGGUCCAGACUCCUACGGGAGGCAGCAGUAGGGAAUCUUCCGCAAUGGGCGAAAGCCUGACGGAGCAACGCCGCGUGAGUGAUGAAGGUCUUCGGAUCGUAAAACUCUGUUAUUAGGGAAGAACAUAUGUGUAAGUAACUGUGCACAUCUUGACGGUACCUAAUCAGAAAGCCACGGCUAACUACGUG
rnacentral:rRNA from 1 species